UGGAUAUACAUAUGAAAAAAUUAACUAAACCACGGUGAGUAAGAAGCGCAUUUCUGAAUAGAUAAACGACUUUCUCGCGGCAGCGUGAGUGUUAAGUAGUAUAAUUCAUACCCCCAUAUAUAUACAACAUUCAUAUAUAUAAUGCCUGAGUUUAUAAUUCCAAUUGCUGGUCGUUCAAGCGAAAGUUAUGUGCGAGUCGGUGAGUUCCAUUGCGUGUUGCAUUGAUAAAGCAACUUGACUGGAAAUUUAUGACGAGUCACUAAAAUCGACUUGAGGCAAAU